GCCUGGUUGGUUCAUUUGGUACAGCAUGUGACUCUUGAUCUCAGGGUUGUGAGUUCAAGCCCCACAUUGGGUG
rnacentral:tRNA from 1 species